AAGGUAAAAGCAUUUCAGACGAGCCAAAGAUGACUUGCUACAAAUCCCCUUCAAAAAUUGUGUCAUUGUAUGGGUACAAUUUACAACAUUUUAGUACAUGAUUUUAGGCAAGUCAUCCUUGGCUAUCCAAAUCGCUCUUUAACCU
rnacentral:pre_miRNA from 1 species